rnacentral:siRNA from 1 species
CUCACCCAUCGAUGUGCUCUG